rnacentral:rRNA from 1 species
AUAACCUUGCGAAAGUAAGACUAAUACCCAAUGACGUCUCUAGAAGACAUCUGAAGGAGAUUAAAGAUUUAUCGGUGAUGGAUGGGGAUGCGUCUGAUUAGCUUGUUGGCGGGGUAACGGCCCACCAAGGCGACGAUCAGUAGGGGUUCUGAGAGGAAGGUCCCCCACAUUGGAACUGAGACACGGUCCAAACUCCUACGGGAGGCAGCAGUGAGGAAUAUUGGUCAAUGGGCGAGAGCCUGAACCAGCCAAGUAGCGUGCAGGAUGACGGCCCUAUGGGUUGUAAACUGCUUUUAUAAGGGAAUAAAGUGAGUCUCGUGAGACUUUUUGCAUGUACCUUAUGAAUAAGGACCGGCUAAUUCCGUGCCAGCAGCCGCGGUAAUACGGAAGGUCCGGGCGUUAUCCGGAUUUAUUGGGUUUAAAGGGAGCGUAGGCCGGAGAUUAAGCGUGUUGUGAAAUGUAGAGGCUCAACAUCUGCACUGCAGCGCGAACUGGUUUCCUUGAGUACGCACAAAGUGGGCGGAAUUCGUGGUGUAGCGGUGAAAUGCUUAGAUAUCACGAAGAACUCCGAUUGCGAAGGCAGCUCACGGGAGCGCAACUGACGCUGAAGCUCGAAAGUGCGGGUAUCGAACAGGAUUAGAUACCCUGGUAGUCCGCACGGUAAACGAUGGAUGCCCGCUGUUGGUCUGAAUAGGUCAGCGGCCAAGCGAAAGCAUUAAGCAUCCCACCUGGGGAGUACGCCGGCAACGGUGCAACUCAAAGGAAUUGACGG